GACGAACGCUGGCGGCGUGCCUAAUACAUGCCAGUUGAGCGCUGAAGGUUGGUACUUGUACCAACUGGAUGAGCAGCGAACGGGUGAGUAACGCGUGGGGAAUCUGCCUUUGAGCGGGGGACAACAUUUGGAAACGAAUGCUAAUACCGCAUAAAAACUUUAAACACAAGUUUUAAGUUUGAAAGAUGCAAUUGCAUCACUCAAAGAUGAUCCCGCGUUGUAUUAGCUAGUUGGUGAGGUAAAGGCUCACCAAGGCGAUGAUACAUAGCCGACCUGAGAGGGUGAUAGGCCACAUUGGGACUGAGACACGGCCCAAACUCCUACGGGAGGCAGCAGUAGGGAAUCUUCGGCAAUGGACGAAAGUCUGACCGAGCAACGCCGCGUGAGGGAAGAAGGGUUUCGGAUCGUAAAACUCUGUUGGUAGAGAAGAACGUUGGUGAGAGUGGAAAGCUCAUCAAGUGACGGUAACUACCCAGAAAGGGACGGCUAACUACGUG
rnacentral:rRNA from 1 species